GAUGAACGCUGGCGGCGUGCUUAACACAUGCAAGUCGAACGAUGAAGCCCAGCUUGCUGGGUGGAUUAGUGGCGAACGGGUGAGUAACACGUGAGUAACCUGCCCUUAACUCUGGGAUAAGCCUGGGAAACUGGGUCUAAUAUCGGAUAGGAGCGUCCACCGCAUGGUGGGUGUUGGAAAGAUUUAUCGGUUUUGGAUGGACUCGCGGCCUAUCAGCUUGUUGGUGAGGUAAUGGCUCACCAAGGCGACGACGGGUAGCCGGCCUGAGAGGGUGACCGGCCACACUGGGACUGAGACACGGCCCAGACUCCUACGGGAGGCAGCAGUGGGGAAUAUUGCACAAUGGGCGGAAGCCUGAUGCAGCGACGCCGCGUGAGGGAUGACGGCCUUCGGGUUGUAAACCUCUUUCAGUAGGGAAGAAGCGAAAGUGACGGUACCUGCAGAAGAAGCACCGGCUAACUACGUG
rnacentral:rRNA from 1 species